rfam:Oryza glaberrima chromosome 11 Oglab11_0176_8, whole genome shotgun sequence.
AAAAAGACAAACCGUGGGUUUCCGUGCCAACGUUUGACUGUCCGUCUUAUAUGAAAUUUUUUUAUAAUUAGUAUUUUCAUUGUCGUUCGAUGAUAAAACAUGAUUAAUAUUUUAUGUGUGACUUAUCUUUUUAAUUUUUUUCAUAAUUUUUUUAAAUAAAACGGACAAUCAAACGUUGGACACGAAAACUAUGGUUUGUCCUUUUU